GUAUCAUGGUGAACUAUGCCUGGGCAGGGCGAAGGCAGAGGAAACCCUGGUGGAGGUCUGUAACAGUCCUGUUGUGCAAAUUGGUUGCCUGACCCGGGUCUAGGGGCAAAGGACUAAUCAAAUCAUCUAGUAGCU
rnacentral:ncRNA from 1 species